rnacentral:tRNA from 1 species
GGUGAGAUGGCCGAGCGGUCUAAGGCGCCAGACUAAGGUAGUUACCCUGGGUUUCGGACCCUGAAAAAUCUGGUCCGAAAGGGCGUGGGUUCGAAUCCCACUCUCAUCA